CCUACGGGAGACAGCAGUGAGGAAUAUUGGUCAAUGGGCUUACGCCUGAACCAGCCAAGUCGCGUGAGGGAAGACUGCCCUAUGGGUUGUAAACCUCUUUUGUCAGGGAGCAACGCCGGCUACGUGUAGCCGGACUGAGAGUACCUGAAGAAAAGGCAUCGGCUAACUCCGUGCCAGCAGCCGCGGUAAUACGGAGGAUGCGAGCGUUAUCCGGAUUUAUGGGGUUUAAAGGGUGCGUAGGCGGAAUGCCAAGUCAGCGGUAAAAUCGCGGGGCUCAACCUCGCUCCGCCGUUGAAACUGGCGUUCUUGAGUGGGCGAGAAGUAUGCGGAAUGCGUGGUGUAGCGGUGAAAUGCAUAGAUAUCACGCAGAACUCCGAUUGCGAAGGCAGCAUACCGGCGCCCAACUGACGCUGAAGCACGAAAGCGUGGGUAUCGAACAGGAUUAGAUACCCUUGUAGUC
rnacentral:rRNA from 1 species